GAGCUCAUCCUCCACCGUGAGGACGGUUCAUCCUCCACACCGUGAGUUCAUCCUGCACCGACAUCAAGCUACAGCACCACCGUGAGUUCCAGAAUCUCUGCUAUAAAUGGGGUGCAAAAUUGACUCCAUCAAAGGUGGCUAAUAAAGUGAAGCACUAUGACAAGAUAAGUGGAAGAAGUCGAGGGUUUGGCUUCGUGACGAGGAGAAGUAAGCAAAGCAGGGCCUCUGGUUGAGUAUGAGCGUAGAAUUGCCACGAGUGAUCUUGUGGAUGGGGAUAGUAGUCAGAUUACAAAAUGGCUUCUUCUUCUAGUAACAAUAGCUACUUAAGAGUGAUACCAAGAUUUUGUGAUUGUGGGAGAACAGCUG